GAUGAACGCUGGCGGCGUGCCUAAUACAUGCAAGUCGAGCGAACAGACGAGGAGCUUGCUCCUUCGACGUUAGCGGCGGACGGGUGAGUAACACGUAGGGAACCUACCUAUAAGACUGGGAUAACUUCGGGAAACCGGAGCUAAUACCGGAUAAUAUUUCGAACCGCAUGGUUCGAUAGUGAAAGAUGGCUUUGCUAUCACUUAUAGAUGGACCUGCGCCGUAUUAGCUAGUUGGUAAGGUAACGGCUUACCAAGGCAACGAUACUUAGCCGACCUGAGAGGGUGAUCGGCCACACUGGAACUGAGACACGGUCCAGACUCCUACGGGAGGCAGCAGUAGGGAAUCUUCCGCAAUGGGCGAAAGCCUGACGGAGCAACGCCGCGUGAGUGAUGAAGGUCUUCGGAUCGUAAAACUCUGUUAUUAGGGAAGAACAAACGUGUAAGUAACUGUGCACGUCUUGACGGUACCUAAUCAGAAAGCCACGGCUAACUACGUG
rnacentral:rRNA from 1 species